GUACGCAACGUUUAGUCCGAAAUUUCAUACAAAAGUCAACAGACGCGAGACCUCAGCGAUCGCGCGUACAACAAUAACAGCAACAAUAUCGAAAGCAACAACAGACUAAAAUAACCCGCAUUUGACUAUUGUUUGUCUUACGAAACAGAACCGAAUCCGGCAACCGGUGCCAGAACAACAAAAAAUCGAAAAGAAUCCUAAACAAA